CUACGUGCCAGCAGCCGCGGUAAUACGGAAGGUCCGGGCGUUAUCCGGAUUUAUUGGGUUUAAAGGGAGCGUAGGCCGGAGAUUAAGUGUGUUGUGAAAUGUAGACGCUCAACGUCUGACUUGCAGCGCAUACUGGUUUCCUUGAGUACGCACAACGUUGGCGGAAUUCGUCGUGUAGCGGUGAAAUGCUUAGAUAUGACGAAGAACUCCGAUUGCGAAGGCAGCUGACGGGAGCGCAACUGACGCUUAAGCUCGAAGGUGCGGGUAUCAAACAGGAUUAGAUACCCUGGUAGUCCGCACAGUAAACGAUGGAUGCCCGCUGUUGGUACCUGGUAUCAGCGGCUAAGCGAAAGCAUUAAGCAUCCCACCUGGGGAGUACGACCGCAAGGUUGAAACUCAAAGGAAUUGACGGGGGCCCGCACAAGCGGUGGAGCAUGUGGUUUAAUUCGAUGCAACGCGAAGAACCUUACCUACUCUUGACAUCCAGA
rnacentral:rRNA from 1 species